UGUCAUCGAUCUUUAUCGAAAAAGACGAUAAUAUCGUGCGUCAGGACGAACUAUUUGUCAGACGGGUAUAAACGGCAGAUGGUGAUUUGGAUGCACAUAUUUACAAAUAAUAUAUUUAACAAAAAACCCCCGAGGACUGAUAAUAAAUUCAAUCUUUGGUUGAAGUCUGGACACAAAGAAUGUUUGUGGAUUUUAUUGCUGGCCUCAUG